UAAAUGCAACAAAAGAGCAUAAUGGGGAUAUAAGGGUGAGUGGGUGUGUGUGAAGCCUUGGAAGUGAAAUGCAUGCUGGCUUCUCACUGCUGUGUGUACAGUAAGUAGGUGGAAUUAAACAAAGGAAUUCCCAGCCCCCUUUAAGCUAAACAUCUGACCCCAAGUGCAUCACACAGUCGUCAACAGAGGAGGAAGGCAAUUCAGCCAUUUCUUUGUACGGUGUGCACCCAGCUGGGGGAAAGUUCUACCUCCCCCACUCUGCACCAAUCCAUCUGGAUAUGUGAAUGGUUGUUAAGCACGGGGGCGCCUGAUGUAGCUAUUCCACUCCCUCUGCCCUCAUACUGUCUACAGGUUGGCAGUUGAGCUCGGCAGACCGAGAACGCUAAAACCUGGACUUGAGGAUGCGAGGAUGCCAUGGUUAGAACGUGAACGCAAGUCCCUCUGGACGGUGGACCACAUGCCUGGGUGGGGAUGGUGACUGGAGUGCUGUGGCUGUCAGGGAAAAGACCAUCAUGGAAGGGCUAUAGGAGUGAGAGGCAGCUCCUUUGAAGCCCUCAGUCUAGCAUCUCCCUCUUUCGGUUCCCUUUUAGCCAGAGCUAAAACCCGGAGAAGCGGAGUCUGCACAGUGCAACUCUUAUGUGAGCUGGGCAUGCUCAGAAGCAAGGGGCUGGUUUGGGUCCGAAGUCUGACCGAGGGUUCUUCAGCACAGGGCUAGAGCGGGAGUACCCCAGGAGCCUUGGAGUGCCUUAGAGGAGAAGAUCUCACUUUACUCAUGUAGGCGUGGCCCACACUUCUCCAGAGACCGAGAGGUGAGUACGGAUCUCUUGGCGGGAUCCCCCAACCCCCCGUCACUGACAAGCAGCAUCUCCCACUGACAAGCAGGAGCAUCCCACAGGUCCAAACAACAGUGUGUGCGUGCGUGCAUGCGCGUGUGAAUGUGUAAAAACACUUUAUCGCUCCUAGGUAAAGGAACUGGUCUAGUCUGAGCAUCAGUUGCCAUAUUUUGACAGGGUCUGAGGUCCA
rnacentral:lncRNA from 1 species